CAAGACGUAGCUAUAAGCCAAAGCAUUCAGCUUACACCUGAAAGAUAUCUACUCGUCCAGAUCGUCUUGA
rnacentral:tRNA from 1 species